AGAGACAGCAGUAGCCGCGGUAAAACGAAGGGGGCUAGCGUUGUUCGGAAUUACUGGGCGUAAAGCGCACGUAGGCGGAUAUUUAAGUCAGGGGUGAAAUCCCAGAGCUCAACUCUGGAACUGCCUUUGAUACUGGGUAUCUUGAGUAUGGAAGAGGUGAGUGGAAUUCCGAGUGUAGAGGUGAAAUUCGUAGAUAUUCGGAGGAACACCAGUGGCGAAGGCGACUCACUGGUCCAUUACUGACGCUGAGGUGCGAAAGCGUGGGGAGCAAACAGGAUUAGAUACCCGAGUAGUCCCUGUCUCUUAUAC
rnacentral:rRNA from 1 species